rnacentral:sRNA from 1 species
AAGAAAAAACACAAAAAA